AGCGAACGCUGGCGGCAUGCCUUACACAUGCAAGUCGAACGGCAGCACGGGUGCUUGCACCUGGUGGCGAGUGGCGAACGGGUGAGUAAUACAUCGGAACGUACCUUAUCGUGGGGGAUAACGCAGCGAAAGCUGUGCUAAUACCGCAUACGCCCUGAGGGGGAAAGCGGGGGAUCGCAAGACCUCGCGCGAUUAGAGCGGCCGAUGCCUGAUUAGCUUGUUGGUGGGGCAAAGGCCCAACAAGGCGACGAUCAGUAGCUGGUCUGAGAGGACGAUCAGCCACACUGGGACUGAGACACGGCCAGACUCCUACGGGAGGCAGCAGUGGGGAAUUUUGGACAAUGGGGGCAACCCUGAUCCAGCAAUGCCGCGUGAGUGAAGAAGGCCUUCGGUUUGUAAAGCUCUUUUGUCAGGGAAGAAACACCGGCUCUAACACAGUCCGGGAAUGACGGUACCUGAAGAAUAAGCACCGGCUAACUACGUGCCAGCCGCCGCUGUAA
rnacentral:rRNA from 1 species